rnacentral:ncRNA from 1 species
AAAGACUUAGUCCUAACCUUACCGUUAAUUUUUGCUAAAUAUAUACAUGCAAGUAUCCGCGCCCCAGUGUAAAUGCCCUUGAAUCUCCUAUUAAAGAAAAAAGGAGCAGGUAUCAGGCACACCAUUGUAGCCCAAGACGCCUUGCUUUGCCACACCCCCACGGGUACUCAGCAGUAAUUAACAUUAAGCAAUAAGUGAAAACUUGACUUAGUUAUAGCAAUUCAAGGGUUGGUAAAUCUUGUGCCAGCCACCGCGGUCAUACAAGAGACCCAAAUUAACUGCAUGCGGCGUAAAGAGUGGUAUCAUGUUAUCAUAACAACUAAGACCGAAGUGCAACCAAGCUGUCAUAAGCUCAAGAUGUACCUAAGACCUUCAUAGACCUUAGUGACCCUGAUUAAUUUAAUCCCACGAAAGCUAAGACACAAACUGGGAUUAGAUACCCCACUAUGCUUAGCCCUAAAUCUCGAUGCUUUCUAUAUACUAAAGCAUCCGCCCGAGAACUACGAGCACAAACGCUUAAAACUCUAAGGACUUGGCGGUGCCCUAAACCCACCUAGAGGAGCCUGUUCUGUAAUCGAUAACCCACGUUAACACCCGACCGUCCCUUGCCAUAAAACAGCCUACAUACCGCCGUCGCCAGCUCACCUCCUCUGAGAGUUCAACAGCGAACACAAUAGCCUAAACCCGCUAAUAAGACAGGUCGAGGUAUAGCCCACGGGACGGAAGAAAUGGGCUACAUUUUCUAACAAUAGACAAAUUCACGGAAGGGGGUAUGAAAUCGCCCCCCGAAGGCGGAUUUAGCAGUAAAGCGGGACAAUAUAUGCCCUCUUUAAACUGGCCCUGGGGCACGUACAUACCGCCCGUCACCCUCCUCACAAGCUACAUUAUUCAUAAUAUUUUAAUACUAAUCCUAAGCUGAAGAUGAGGUAAGUCGUAACAAGGUAAGUGUACCGGAAGGUGUACUUAGCAUAC